AUUGAACGCUGGCGGCAGGCCUAACACAUGCAAGUCGAGCGGAUGACGGGAGCUUGCUCCUUGAUUCAGCGGCGGACGGGUGAGUAAUGCCUAGGAAUCUGCCUGGUAGUGGGGGACAACGUUUCGAAAGGAACGCUAAUACCGCAUACGUCCUACGGGAGAAAGCAGGGGACCUUCGGGCCUUGCGCUAUCAGAUGAGCCUAGGUCGGAUUAGCUAGUUGGUGAGGUAAUGGCUCACCAAGGCGACGAUCCGUAACUGGUCUGAGAGGAUGAUCAGUCACACUGGAACUGAGACACGGUCCAGACUCCUACGGGAGGCAGCAGUGGGGAAUAUUGGACAAUGGGCGAAAGCCUGAUCCAGCCAUGCCGCGUGUGUGAAGAAGGUCUUCGGAUUGUAAAGCACUUUAAGUUGGGAGGAAGGGCAGUAAGCUAAUACCUUGCUGUUUUGACGUUACCGACAGAAUAAGCACCGGCUAACUCUGUGCCAGCCGCCGCUGUAAUAC
rnacentral:rRNA from 1 species